rnacentral:lncRNA from 1 species
GAAACAUCUUUUCUCUGAGAGUAAUCAAGAUUCAAGUUCUUCUACCAGUGAACAAUCUUGGAGCAGUAACCACAAAAGGAAAUCCCUAAAGCCAUAUUCCAGUAGGAGUAAGACUAGAGUCAGAAGCAGUUUAAGAGGUACCUUUGCUUGCCAUCUUUUGGGUCACUUCUCAGAUCAAUCGGCAGAUAUUAUUUUUUUCAGUGUGGGGGAUGGUAACAAAUAUGAUUACGGGCCUCUCUUUCCCAUUUUACAAUCACACCAGAAAGGAAAAAUAUAUGUACAUGAAACAAAGAAUAUGGAGUUAACUAGAAGUUAUUAAAAGUCAGGAGUUGAGCUGGGGGGACCUCAUAAGAGCUAGAGCCACUUUUAAGUACGAGGUGGGAAGGACUUGAGCUAAGCCUUGGGAAAGGAGUGGGGUGUGAAGGGCUGAGAAGGGGAAGCUUUCUAGGUUUAAAAAAAAAAAAAAACCACCAAAAUGCACCCAGGAAGUGAGGGUGAUGUUCAGGGACGGUGUUUGGAGCAGGAGUUCACACAAGGUGGUGAGGAACAAGGGGGAAUCAUUGCAGAAGUAUUUAAGAGCAGACACACGAGCAGGUGCUCAGAGUAGGAAUAGCUCUAGCAGUGGCCUGUGUCAUUAGAGGGAGAAAUGGACCUCUGUGUGUCUCAUAACUAAAUGUACCCACUGUAUGCUUAUUUUCUUUUGUUCUUUAGUCUUGCCACAUUUCCUUUUCAGUAGUGGCAGUGACCAUGAGAAAGAUCAAGUAAGUAAAUUGUGUUGGACUGCCCUGGGCCCUAAUGGGUUACACGACAUUUUUUUUUUCUCAAAAUACUUCAGCAAUAUGAGAAUAAUGAACCAGAAGUUUGCUGUUAUAUCCACUUCUGCCAAUAGAAACUGCAAGAAUCGUGGUGGUGCACACCUGUAAUCCCAGCUACUGAGAAGGCUGAGACGGGAGGAUUGCAAAGUUGAGGCCAGUUGGGCCAACUUAGCAAGACCCUGAAUAAAAAGAAGGGCUGGGCAUGUCACUUAGUGGUGGAGUGCAUCUGGGUUCAGUACUGAGUACUGCAAAAAAAAAAAAACCUAUAAGGGCUUCCAAACAUUUAGUAUGAAUCAUAGGUAAAGUUUAGGAUCUUUUUUUCCCAUUAUUUACAAAUAUUGUUAAAUAUUAUAUAGGAUACCCAAAACCUUGGCUAUUCUGAAUUCCCCUAGAUAUUUGCUCUUUUGAAUUUGUUUUGAAGUAAAUUGGUUUAAUUCCUCCUAUAGUUUUCAGUUUCUUAUAUUGCUUCUAAAGCUUUAUAAAGCAUAUAAAUCUUCAUUUUGCAAGUGGUUCACGUGCCUUCAGGCUUAUGUAAAUAUUGAACAAACGCUUGGGGUUUUAAAAUUUCACUUAUCCUCGUUUUGUACCAAGGAGUUAAAAGUAUGGAUGCCAGUGUCCUCUGGACCAAUUCAAAGCCACAUUUUGCCUCAUGUCAGCCAAGUUAUUCCUUUGCUUAGUGGUUGGUUUUUGUCUGUCAUGUGAGGGGUGUAUAGACUACAGAGUCUGUGACCACGGACAUAGGGUUUUAUGAGGAGCCACUGCUGUGAUUGAGGCCUCCAUGGCACCCUGCCUGCUGGUACAGAAACUCAAUAAACUGCAAGUGCUCUGGUCGCAGCUCCAGCUGCGUGCUGCAUUAAGUACAUGUUGAUUCUCAAGUCAUUCAGGAUAGAGAGUAAACUUUUGACCCAGAGUAGGUACAGUUUUCCCUUGGGAUCCAUGAGGGAUGGGUUCCAGAACUCUUUGGUGACCAAAAUCUAUGGAUGCUCAAGUUCCUCAUAAAAUGGCAUAGUAUUUACUUAUCUAGGCAUAUCCUUCUAUAUACUCUAAAUCAUAUUUAGGUUCCUCAUAGUACCUAAUGCAUUGUAAAUGCUAUGCAAAUAGUCACUAUACUAUCUAGUUCAGAGAAUGGUGACUAGGGGGAAAGUUGAUGUAUACAUUGAGUAAAUGCAGUGUUUUCUUCAGUAUUUUUGAUGGGCCGUUGGUUGAAUUUGUGGAUGUGGGACCCAUAGAUAUGGAGGGCUGAUUGUAGUUGGUUAUUUGUUGACUCAUUCAACCCAAAAUAAUGAAAUGGCCCAAAAGAAUAGAUUAUCUAGUAAAUAUGGCUUUGGUUUUAAAUAAGCACCAAAGAAACAUCACAGAUUUAAGAAUUCUUAAAUACAAGCUAUGCAACUGGUAAAGUCUAGGCUGAUGUUCAGUGAGGGUCUUGUGGACUUUCCACUUAAAAUAUAUUUUCCUGUGCUGCAGUAUAAGAAUAAUUAUCUUAGUGGUUGGUUUUUGUCUGUCAUAUGAGGUAUGUAUAGACCGCAUAGUUGUCAAACUUUUCUGUAAAGGGCCAGAUAGUAAAUAUUUGGACAUUUGUGAGUCAUACAGUCUCUAGCAAUAACCCAACUCUGUCUUUGUAGCCAGAAUGGUUCCAUAGAUGAUAGGGAAAUUAACAGCAUAGUGUGUUCUAAUAAAACUUUAUUUAGAAGAAUAGACCGUGGGUUGUACUUUGCCAAACCCUGAUUCAGAACAGUGGUUCUCAAAUUUGAGUGGCUAUCAGAAAAACUAGGAUGACUUAAGACAGAUUUCUCAGUCCUAUCCCCAGCAUUUCUUAUUGAGUAAGUCAUAGGUGGCAUUUGAGUAUUUGCAUUUCUUUCAAGUUCCUGUGUGUUGAUGAUGCUCUUGAUCUGGACCACACUCUGAAAAGCAUCGAUUUAGAGUUUAUCAGUUGAAAUAUGACCUAACUGUUCUUAUAAUUCUGAAAUUUCCUGGUCUUUGUGUUUACUUUUGAAUGCAGUAAAUCCAAUACCUAACUUCUUAAAAGGAUAUUGAAAAUGUCUUGGGAUUUUUUUUGGAUAAAGUUUUCAGUGGUUAUGAAUGCUCAUACUUAACAAAGGUGUCAUUAUGUUAGGCUAAACUUCUGUCACCAGUACGGGAAGACAUUGAUAGGCAAAAUGCCACACUUCCAAAAAUUUCUGAAACUGAACCCCAGCGUAGCCCUUCCUUUUUAACUCCUGAAGAUUCUACACAGAAAAUAGGUAAGUGAUUUUUUGUUGUUGGUUUGUAUAGAUAAAAAGUUGUAUUUGGAGACUGGUGGUUUGAAGCAAACCAUUUUUUAAAAAGCCAUGAAGGAAAGUGUUAGUUUGUGAUGGCCUUUCCCUUUAAUGUCUCCAUUGGCAAAGGAUGGGAGAUAUUUUGUUUAUAUUUUGCUUUGACAUUUGAAAUCAGAUUACUCAUAAGAAUUGCCAGGUCUCCCUUUAAACAUUCAGGAAAACUCAAGUGAUGACCUAGAGCAGGAAUUGAUAAACUUUUCCCAUAAAGUACACUGAUAGCAAAUAUUUUUGCUUCUUGAAUGCAUAUGGUUUCUGUUGCAGCUAUUUAACUCCACAGUUGUAGCACAAAAUCAGGUGCAGACAAGAUUUAAACCAGUAAGCAGGCUUCUACCAAAUGUUAUUUACAAAAUCGGAUGCAAAUUGGAUUUGGCCUGGGGGUCCGUUCCGGUUUUGCCAAGCUUUGUUUUGUAAGCAUUACCUUAACCCUCCCUGUAUCUUAUUGGAAUUGUUUGCAUCUUUUUAAGUUCAUAAGCUUAGGGAUUUUUCUUUUGUUCACCUUUAUCAUUCUACAGUUUAGCUGCUGCCAGGCACACACUGGCACCUAGGAAACACUGGGCCUCUUAGCCUGGCUGCCACUCAUAGAAGUGUAAGGAAAUGGAAAGGGGAGAGAUGAAGAUGCAGCAUAAAGAGAGAGAGGCAGUGAGGCAGAAAGUUUUGGGAAAAGGAACAAACUACAAAACAGAAAACAAUUAACAAAAGGCCACAGUAAGUCCUUACCUAUUAACAAUUACUUUAUUGUAAAUGGAAUAAAUCCUCCAAUCAAAAGAAAGAGUGGCUGUUAGCUUAAAGAAACAAGAUCCAAUGACAUGCAAGAAACUUACAUUAGUCUUAAGGAAAAAGACUUAAAAUGAAGAGAUGAACAAAGAUACACUCCAUGUAAAUGGUAACCAAAAGAGAGCAGAGGUGGCUAUACUUAAUAUAUAUUUUCUGUCAAAAAUCUGUCAUCGAUCAGAAAGAUUAAUAUAUUAUGUUAUAGGGGUCAAUUCAAGAAAAGGAUAUAAUUAUUGUGAAUAUAUAGGCACCCAGCAUUGGAGCACCUAAAUAUGUAGAGCAAAUAUUAACAAAAUGGAAGGAAAAACCAACAGCAAUACCAUAGUAGUAGGGGACUUCAGAAACCCAUUUUCAACAAUGGGCAAAUCAUCCAGAAAGAAAAUCAAUAUGGAAAUGGUGGACUUUGAUGAUACUGUGGAACAAGGGACCCAACAGACAUACAAACGUUCCAUACAACACAGUAUACAUUCUCAACAGUGUACACUGGACAUUGUCCUGGAUAUAUGUAAUGUAUGGCCACAAAACAAGUCUUAACAAGUUUAAGAGGAUUGAAAUCAUGUCCAGUAUCUUUUCUGACUACAGUAGCACAAAAUUGAAGCGUUAACAGGGGAAUUCUUGGAAAAUUUACAAGUGUGUGGACAGUAACAGCAUACUUCUGAAUGAUCAGUGGGUCAGAGAAAAUCAAGAGUCUCUUAAGACAAAAGGAAAUGGAAACAGACUACACCAGACCCUAUGGGAUGCAGCAAAAGCAGCAUUUAGAGGGAAGUUUGUAAUGAUAAAAGCCUACAUUAAGGACUGGGGUUAUGGCUCAGGGGUAGAGCACUCGCCUAGCACAUGUGAGGUCCUGGGUUCAAUCCUCAGCACCACAUAUAAAUAAAUGAAGGCACUGUGUCCAUCUCCAACUAAAAAUGUAGACUUUUUUUUAAAAAAGUCUACAUUAGGAAAAAAGAUGUCAAAUGAACCAACUAACUCUACACUGCAAGGCACUAAAAAUAGAAUAAACUAAGCCCAAAGUCAUGAGAAGGAGGAAAAUAUUUGAGGGCAGAAAUAAGAGAAAUAGACCCUAAGAUAAUUUAAAAGAGCUACAAAACAAAUUAGUUCUGUGAUGCUUGCCUGUAAUCCAAGUGGCUCAUGAGGCUGAGGCAGGAGGAUCACAGGUUCAAAGCCAAUCACAGCAAAAACGAGGUGCUAAGCAACUUGGUGAGACCCUGUCUCUAAAGAAAAUACAAAAUGGGGAUGUGGUUCAGUAGUCAAGUGGUCAAGUGCCCCCGAUUUCAAUCCCUGGUACCAAAAAGGAAAAAAAAAAAAGUUUUGUGAAAAGAUAAAAGUAACAAACUUUAUCCUAUCUAAGAAAAAAGGGGGCUCAAAAUAUAGAAUCAGAGAACAUUACAACUGAUACUACAGAAAUACAAAGGAUCAUAAGAUGCUGUAGAAAAUUAUAUGCCAACAAAUUGGAUCACCUAAAAGGAAUGAAUAAAUUUCUAGACACAUAAACCUAUCAAGACUGAAUCAUGAAGUAGAAAAUUUGAAUAGAUUCAAAGUAAUGAGACAGAAUCAGUAAUCAAAAAUUUCCCUUCAAAGCAAAGCCCAAGACAUGAUGGAUAUAUGAUUGAAUUCUACCAAGCAUUUUAAAAGGAAUUAGCUGGUCUUCCUGAAACUGUUCUAAAAACUUGGAGAGGAGGGAACAUUACCAAGUGUACUUUAUGAAACCAGCAUUACUCUGAUACCAAAGCUAUAUAAGGACACUACAAGAGAAGAAUUAUAUUACAGGCCAAUGUUCCUGAUGGACAGGUAUUCAGAAAUCUCUAUCAAUAUAUAAGUCAAUGGAUUAAAACAGUACAUUGAAAACACUAUGAUCAAGUGGGAUUUAUCCCUGGGAUGUCAGGAUAGUUCAACAUAUGGAAACUAAUAAAUGGAAAAAAACCACCUUAACAGAAUGAAGGAUAAAAUCCUAUGAUCAUUUCAAUAGAUGCAGAAAAAGUAUUUGAAAAAAAACCCAAUAAAAAUUAGAUGUGUAAGGAAUCACCUCAACAUUUUUAAGUCAAUAUGUGAGAAGCCCACAGUUAAUAUUAUAUUCAGUGGUGAAAACCUGAAAAUUUUAAGAUCAAAGCAAGCAUGCCUACUCUCACCACUUCUACUCAAUAGAGUUCUGCAAAUCCUAGUCAGAGAAAUUGGACAAGAUGGGAAAAAUUAACUUGUCACUGUUACAAAAAAAUUCUUAUAUAGAGAGAACCGCCAAACUACUUCCACCAGAAAUCUCAGAACUGCUAAACUGCUUCCCCUAGAAGUAAAAUUAUGGGAUAAUAAGAUCAAUAUAUAAAAAUCCCUUGUGGUUUUUCCCCCUGGUUAUUCCUGAUUCAAAUUGGCUGAAGAAAAGGCACUUAUCACUCACAACAUUUUCCACAAAGAUGAACUAAAGUAAUAGAUAUAUGGCUGCAUUUUUGAGUGAGCAUUGAGGAGAGACAUUUAAAAGCAGCCAAAGACUGAAGCCUGAAAGAUUUAGAGACUUAAGAAUAACAGUGUAGUGAGGAAAACAAAAUACCCUGGUAUAUAUGGUUCUGCAGACAGGAGUCCUGCUUACAUGGUGUAAGAGUGGAAAAAGUCCACUGGGUACAGUGGCACACACCUGUAAUCCCAGAGGCUUGGGAGGCUGAGGCUGAAGGAUCAUGAGUUCAAAGCCAGCCUUAGUAAAAGAGAGGUUCUUAGCAACUCAGUGAGCUCCUGUCUCUAAAUACAAUGCAAAAUAGGGCUGGGGAUGUGGCUUAGUGGUUGAACGCCCCUAAGUUCAAUCCCCGGUAACACCUCCCACCACCCCCCCAAAAAAUACUAGAAAAUUCAACCAGUAUGGAUGCUGACAAUCCUAAAUACUGAAAAGUUUCAAUCCUCGUGUGCUUGCAGCUCACUUAGAUAAGUAAUCUAAAAUCUGCACAGUAGCCUUGCUUUGGAAAAGGAUCUCUCGAUAUCUCCCCGUGAAACCCCCAGAGUGCUGUAGCUAGGGGGGGUGAGCAGUGAUCUGUCAUCUGUCUGGGCUGCUCUAGGUGUUGGGACCCCCUGCGUAUUCCCACCUCCAGGACUCCACAGACACUCCACCACACUCACUUGUGGGUCACUGUCUCAUGACCCCUACACGGUACAGCAGAACAACUGUGACUGAAGUCCACUGGGUGCCCUGCAAGAGAAAAGUGUUGGGACAAGGAGGAGAAUGGAGGACACUGCCCUCAAGAACCAAGAGGGUGGAGCCCUUGCCCUCUGAGACUAAAGGUGUGGUCAGCUGCACAGGGAUUCCUGCUAAAUGCCAGGACUACAGGCGAGCGCUCCCCCACCAUACUGCAUUCAGAUGCCCAUUACUGGCAGGUUGGGGAGGGAACUACUAGUUCCAUCAUCCAACAUCCCUUCAUAAUGAAAGCUCUCAACAAGUGAGAUAUGGAAAGAUCCUGCCUCUACUACUGAAAGCUAUGUAUGCAAAACUGUCGCCAAUGUCAUAUCCAUGAGGGAAAGCUAAGAUCAUGGACAGUACAAGUAUGUCUUUUCAUUGCUGUUAUUCACAUAGCAGAGCUUUUAGAAAGAAAAGGCAUCCAAUAUGAGGAAAUGAAAUUAUCUCGGUAGGUAUUAUUCUCUAUGUAGAAAUUCAAAUAUUCCACCGAGAGACUAUUAGAAUUGAUAAACUCAGUAAAGUAGCAGGAUGCAGUGUCAACAUAAAAUAUCUGUUUUCUAUAUACCAAUAACAAAGUUUGCUGAAAAAGAAAUCAUGAAGGCAAUUCUUCAUACUAGCUACAAAUAAAUAAAAUAUCCCAGGAAUUAACCAAAGAAACAAUAUAUCUCUACAGGAAUAACCAGACAGAUGAGAGAGUUUGUAAAUAGAAGAUGUAAAGACUUCCCACGUUCAUGGUUGAAGAAUUGAUUGCACUGGACAGUGUGACCAUUUAAGCUAUCUAUAGAUUCCAUGCAUUUUCUAUCAAAAUACCCAUAAAAUUCUUCACAGAACUAGAAAAAAUGGUAACAUUCAUAUGGAAGCACAAACUACACUAAAUAGCCAAAGGAACCUUUUUAAAAUAGCAAAUGAUUUAUAUUCCUGGGUGAAGAAACUUAUUCUAUUUAUGAUAUCCAUACCCACGAAUGAUUCAAUUUAGUAAGGACUUUGUAGAAAGUACAAUGAUAAUGUAUGAGAGGUUUGAGUUACAGUGUAAGUGUAUUAUUUGUUGAAUUCUAAAAUACUCCAAAGGUGUUUUGAUACGAACCUGUUUGGGAUUAGCGGUGUACUUUCUGGCUAAAUAUCACAAGGGAGGAUUACACAUUUCUCCUCUAGUGACUUGUAAAUACGACUGGUCUCCUUCAGUCUCCCCAGUUAGCCUUGUCACAUGACCAUGUCUUCUGUUUAGUCUUUAUAAAUCCAAAAGGUUCUAGUUCAGAAACAGCUCUCAUAAACCAGCCUGGAUAAUUCCAUCCAUCUCUUCUGCGGUUGUAGAAUUUGCAUUCAUCUUUUCAGCAGCUGUCACGGGGUUAACUAGCCUGCUACGCUGCAGGAGCAGUUGAUAAGUGAUGCAGAUGUCAGGGGCAGUGUUUGGAAUUCAGUCUUCUUCCCUCUUCAGUGUUUUGUUCUUUAAAUAACAAUAAGGGUUGCUGAGUGCCGAGUGGAAGGUGUGGUACUGGAGCAGCAGUUAAAUGCUCAGGUGGAGAGCACUGAAGUACACCUCCUCAUGUCUUAGGAGGCAGAAGGUAUUCACUCACUAGACAAAAAUGAGGUUCACAACUUUUUCUUUGAGCGCAUCAAACCUGAUUUGCUUCUUUCUUAUUGUUAACUCCUUCGUUUCCAGGAAAAAUAGAUUCCAUGUGUUUUCUUGUGAAGAAACUGUAUGCUACAUUUGUCACUAAUUUGGUUUUAUGGUAUGAAAAAUCUUCUUCAUUUUGAGACUUGAGAUCCUAAAGUUAGAACUAUCUUCUGAAGGUGAGAGAGAUCCGUCUCCUGAAGCCCCUUUGGCUGUGAUCCAGAAGCAGCUGCUUUGGCAUCAAGGUUCUGAAACUGGGCCAUGAACUUCCCUGUUCUCUUCGAUUUCUGAAGCCUGGUCAUCAGUUCAUCCUUUGCCAGUGUCUCUCUUGGAGGAUGAAAGUCUGAGAUCAGACAGCUCCGCUGGUUUGGACUCCUUGGCUGCAUUGUGGCAGAUGGCAUCAUGGUAGUAGUGGAUGUAACCAAAGCAAUCUUGAGCAAAAGAGCCAAGCGGAUGACAUCAAAUACCUCAUUUCAAGACACAGUACCAAGCAAGGCAAUCAAAAAAUGACAUUGGCAUAAAAAUAGACACAAUGGAAAACAGAGACCCCAGAAGUAAAUCUAUGCAUCUAUAGCCAACUGAUUCUUGAUAAAGGUACCUGUCGUGGACUGGGUGAAGGAAUGUCUUCCCAAAAGUUCACGUUUUGAAAGUCCGAUUUUAGUGCAGUGGGGUUCAGAGGCGGGGCUUUUAGGCAAUGAGAGCUGAAACCUCAUAAGUGGAUUAUUUCAUUUGAGGGGGUAACAAUUUGAGUGGAGGCAGGUGGGGCGUUGUUGAAGGAAGUAGGUCAUGGGAAGGGCGUGCCCUUGGGGUCUACAUCUUUUUUUUUUUUAAUUAUUCUAUCAUGUAGCUGAAUAAUUAUUAUUUUAUGAAGGUUUAUUGGUGCAUAUUAUUUAUACAGAAUAGUGAGUUUACUGUGGCCCAUUCAUACAUACAUAUAAUAUGGUUAAAUCAAUUUCACUUUCCAGUACGUCCUCUUGCCCUUACCUUCUCUUUCCCACAUGCUCCCCUACCUCUAUUCUAGUGGUUUCCCUUCUACUUUCAUGAGACCCAUUUUUUUUCUUUUUUUUCCCUCUAACUUUCACAAAUGAGAGAAAACAUCAUGACACUUGUUUUUUUCUGAAUCUGUAUUAUUCAGCUUAACUCGAUACUUUCCCGUUCCAUCCAUUUUCCUGCAAAUGCUAUUAUUUAAUUUUUCUUUAUGGAUGAAUAAAACUCCAUUGUGUAUAUAUAUAUCAUUUUUUUUUUAGAUUUUUCAUCUGUUGAUGGACACCUAGGGACAGGCAAUAAUUUUCUGGCUAGACCCCGGAAACCAAAGCAAAAAUUGAUAAAUAGGAUUACUUCAAACUAAAAUGCUUCUGCACAGAAAAGUUAACAUAGGAGACAACCCCACAGGGUGGAAGAAAAUGUUUUCUAGUUAUUCCUUUGACAGAGGGUUUUGUUCAGGACAUAUAAAGAACUCAAAAACAUAAAAAUAAUUUAGUUUAAAAAUGGUCAAAGAAUAUGAAAAGACACUUAUCCAAGGAAGAAAUACAAUUGGACAACAAAUAUGUGGGAAAAAUGUCCAUCAUUAGCCAUCAAGGAAAUGCAAAUCAAAAUGAGGUACCGUCUUUCCCCAGUUAGAAUGCUUGUGUAUUUAUAUGUACAUAAAUAACAAAUGUGUAUAUACACCAAUGUUUAUAUACAAAAUUACAGUGAGGAGGUGUAGAAGUAACUUGUAUGUGCUUAUGUGGUGAUGGGAAUGUAACUAGGUACAGCCACUGUGGAGAAGCAGUAUGAGGAUUCCUCCAAAAAUUAAAAAUUAGAUCUACUAUAUGAUCCAGCUAUGCCACUCCUGGGAAUAUAUCCAAAGGAAAUGAAAUCAACUUACCAAAGAGGCACCUGCAUGCCCAUGUUUGUUGUGACAUUGUUCAUAGUAAUUAAGAAAUUAGCCCAAGUGUUCCUCAACAGAUAAAUAGUGGUAUGUAUACACCACGGUAUUUACUCAUGCAGAAAAAUGAAAUCCUGUCCUUUGGAGCAAAACGGAUAGAACUGGAGGAACUUAUGUUCAAUGAAAUGAGCCAGAUGUCAAUAGUACUAUAGGUUCUCAUGUGGGGAAGUUAAAAAUGUCAAUCUGCAAGUAGAAUAGUGACUACUAGGGAUUGGCAAGAGUUCAUAUCCGGGAGGUGGGGGGGAGGUAGGAAAAGAAUAUUUCAAUUUGAUCAGGGCAUGCUGUACCCAUGUAUGAAAAUACACUGAGCCCUGUUAUUAUAUAAUUAUGCUAAUCAACUGUAGUCUGUUCUAUGUUAUAGUAACAAAUUAUCUGGAAAAGGAAUCAAGAAACUUAUCCCAUUUUAGUAGCAUCAAAAUAAAUAAAACAGUAAUGAAUAUAAGCAAGUAGAUGAAAGAUCUGUAUACAGAAGUCUAUAAGACAUUGAUAAAUGAACACAAAUGGAAAGAUCUCUCAUGUUCAUGGAUUGGAAGAACUAAUUAUUUUAAACACUUUUAGUUGUAGAUGGACAUAAUACUUUUAACUUAUUUGUAUGUGGUGCUGAGGAUUGAACACAGUGCCUCACAUGUGCAAGGCAAGUGCUCCACCACUGAGCUACAACCCCAGCCCUUGGAAGAAUUAAUACUAAAAUGUCUAUACCGUCCACAAUCUAUGGAGUUCAAGUAAUUCUUAUCAAAACUCCAAUGGCAUUUUUUUAACCAAAAAAUAAAAAUCUCAAAAUUUGUAUGCAGUAGCAAAAGACUCCAAACUGCUAAAGCAAUCUCGAGAAAGAGGAAUAAACCUGGAAGAAUCACACAGAUGUCAAACUAACAAAGCUGUUACUCAAAACUGGUGUGAAGACAGACAUGCAGACCAAUGGUAGGAGAACAGUCCAAUAAGAAACCCAUUGAAACAUAGUCACCGAAUCUUUGACAACAGUGCAGAGAAUACACAAUGAGGAAAGUUUCUUCAAUAAAUCGUGCUGGAAAAAUUGGACAUCAAUAUACAAAAGAGUGAAUCGAACCCCUCAUACCAUAUGAAAUAUUAAAAUGGAUUAUGGACUUCAAUAUUGGAGACUUUAAAAGAGAAAUGGCUCCUUUACAUCAGUCUUGGCAGUGAUUUUAAUAUUGCCAACAAAAGCAAAAAUAAGUGGUACUGCAAAAAACUUCAAAGGAAUCAACCAACAGAAUGUAGAAAAUAAUUUUUAAAAUACAGAAGUAACUAAAUAGAUAAAAAGGUAGAAAGGCAAAAUGCCUAAACACUUUCCCAAAGAAGACAUACAAAUGACUGACAGAUGUGUGGAGAGGUGCUCAGUGGCACUAAUCAGGGAAGCACAAAUCAAAACCACCAUGAACUAUCACUUCAUGCUUGAGGAUGGCUACUAUCAAAAAGACGAGAGGUAACAAUUGUUGGCAAAUGUAGAAAUGGAAACCCUCAGUACACUGUUGGUGGGAGUGUGAAGUGGUAUGAUCCAGGAAUUCCACUUGUGGGUAUCCAAAGGAAAUGAAAUCGGUAUGCCAAAGAGAGCUGCACUUUCAUGUUUGCUGCACCAUUAUUCACAAUAGCCAAGAUAUGGAAACCAUCCAAACACCUGUCAGUGGAUAAAUGGAAGGAAAAAAUGUGGUAUAGAUAAUCAUGGAAUAUCAUCCCAUUCCACAAAGGAGGAAGAAAUCCCACCAUUUGUGACAACAUGGAUGAACUUGAAGGACAUUAUGCUCAGUUAAUUAGAUCACACAGCAUUCAUUCGUCUGGCUCAUUUAUGUGUGGAAUCUACAAAAGUCAAACUCACAGAAUCAGAGUAAAAUGGUCAUUGCCACAGGGGUGGGGGGAAAUGGGAAGAUGCUGAUCUAAGUAUACAACCUUGAAGCUGUGAGAUGAACAAGUUCUACAGACGGAAUGUGCAGCAUAGGUGGUGGUGGAGGUGUUAAAUAUGAUGGUCGUUGCUCAGUGUAGAUGUCAAAUCCCAAGAGGUAAGGAGGAAGUAAGGCAAGCAAAGGAAGAGAAGAAUCUCAAGGUUGAGGUGAUAGACUCCUUGCCCAUAUUGGGGGCCAGAUGGGCAGCUAAUAAAGUGUGAUCUAGUUGAGGUCAUGGACUCUUCAUCUUAUCUACAGUGAUCUACAAACCUAAUAACAUAUGUGCCCUGAAAAAUGCAGACAUUAUUUUAUCUAGGACUGCGUACCCAUCUUUUUAUUAUGUGAUUUAAUAUAGAGUAAUAGUGAAAUGUUAUUUAUCUUUGUCUAUUUACUUGAAGCUGUUUUUUUUCCUGAUACUUAGAAUUCCCAAAUCCCCACCCACUGAGUGAUCUCUCUUCCUUGGGGCACUCAGAAGUUGAAGAAGAUGUAUCUCAGGUACCAUUCAGUUUUUCAUUUGCUUUUCUAGAAUUAAAAAAUAUAUCUGCAUAACAUACUGGCUUAUUAUUUUUUAAGGGAUAGUGUGGCACUAUUUCUUUGCAAUUUUACAUGUAAUUAUAACUCAUGUAAGUAUAUAUGCACACAAGCAUAUUUAUCAUUUGUGUUUUAGACUGUGAACCAAGAGUCGUUAAUGG